AUUGAACGCUGGCGGCAUGCCUUACACAUGCAAGUCGAACGGUAACAGGUCUUCGGAUGCUGACGAGUGGCGAACGGGUGAGUAAUACAUCGGAACGUGCCUAGUAGUGGGGGAUAACUACUCGAAAGAGUGGCUAAUACCGCAUGAGAUCUACGGAUGAAAGCAGGGGAUCGCAAGACCUUGUGCUACUAGAGCGGCCGGUGGCAGAUUAGGUAGUUGGUGGGAUAAAAGCUUACCAAGCCGACGAUCUGUAGCUGGUCUGAGAGGACGAUCAGCCACGCUGGGACUGAGACACGGCCCAGACUCCUACGGGAGGCAGCAGUGGGGAAUUUUGGACAAUGGGCGCAAGCCUGAUCCAGCAAUGCCGCGUGCAGGAUGAAGGCCUUCGGGUUGUAAACUGCUUUUGUACGGAACGAAAAGCCCCGGGUUAAUACCCUGGGGUCAUGACGGUACCGUAAGAAUAAGCACCGGCUAACUACGUGCCAGCCGCCGCAGUAA
rnacentral:rRNA from 1 species